rnacentral:misc_RNA from 1 species
CACAAGGCAAGAGGAGGGAACUUCAACAGUCCAUUCAGGGCUAAAACCCUAAAAAGAGAGCCCAGAGCAGAGUCUUUCUCUCUCUCUUUUGCGUUGAGCUGCCUUCAUAUUCUCCUACUAAUUUGUUUUUCUUUUAUUUUUUUUGGCUUCACCUUCAUUGUUUUUUUCAAUUUCCAUUACUGAAGUGCUUUGCACAACCUUCCAUGGCCAACCUUCUUCGAAACGCUUCUUCUCUGAGACGUGCUCUACUUUCUCCCGAGGUCUUAAGGAGAGGAAUAUUGGGGAUGUCUUCUCAGAGUUGCAAUUUUUCCACUAAAGGUGCUGAAAAUUCAUGCCGUGCUGUUAUUUUUGAGUGUUAGCCCGUUAAAAAGAGACCUAAAUAACUUAACAGGUAGAAGAAGAUCAAAGUCGGAUGGAAGUGAAUCCAGUGAAGACAACUUGUCCAAGAAGGAGGUGGCUCUACAACAAGCCCUGGAUCAGAUUACUAGCACGUAUGGAAAGGGGUCUAUCAUGUGGUUUGGCAGGUCAAUUGCCGCAAAAGAUGUUCCAGUGGUGUCCACGGGUUCUUUUGCUCUUGACAUAGCACUUGGAACUGGGGGGCUUCCAAAGGGGCGUGUUGUGGAGAUUUAUGGUCCUGAGGCUUCUGGGAAAACCACUCUUGCUCUACAUGUAAUUGCUGAAGCGCAGAAGCAAGGAGGUUAUUGUGUUUUUGUUGAUGCUGAGCAUGCUCUUGACUCAUCAUUGGCUCAGGCCAUUGGAGUAAACACUGAAAACUUGCUUCUAUCACAACCUGACUGUGGCGAACAGGCUCUCAGCCUGGUGGACAUGCUUAUAAGGAGUGGUUCUGUGGAUGUUGUGGUUGUUGACAGUGUAGCUGCCCUUGUGCCUAAAAGUGAGCUUGAUGGUGAGAUGGGCGACGCUCACAUGGCAAUGCAAGCUAGAUUGAUGAGCCAGGCGCUACGCAAAUUGAGCCAUUCUUUAUCGCUGUCACAGACAAUUUUGAUCUUUAUAAAUCAAGUGAGGUCAAAGAUUAGUACCUUUGGAGGAUUUAGUGGGCCAACUGAAGUAACUUGUGGCGGUAAUGCUUUGAAGUUCUAUGCUUCAGUGCGCUUAAACAUAAGAAGGGUGGGGCUUGUAAAGAAGGGGGAAGAGGUAUGACAUUUUGUCUUUUUGUCAAUUUGUGAAUUUGUAAUUGUACCUGGAACAAAUGUUUGUGUGAUUUUACUCCAUACUUUUGAAUGAUCUGAAAUUUGCAUGAGCUUUUGGCUCCCUGUGACAAUAAUCUGAAUCAUGCUUGGUUUGAAGUGCCUCAAGCCCUCUACUUUCCUUCCAUUAAAAGACCAAGACAAUAUAUUAUAUCAUGUCAUGAAAUUGCCUAGAAGAAAAAUAUGUAGCAUUUGAUCCCAGACAUAUUUUUGUGUUUUCAAGCAAAAUACUGGAUGUGCAAGGAUGCUUCUAGGUGUAGAGUACCUGACGAGGAUAUAAUCUCGAUCUAUGAAGACUGCUAAAGUAAAGAGGGCUAAACAAAGUGAUUGAGAGAAUGGAAUUGAUUUCUUUGCAUUGGCAAUUGCUGCAUCUAUGUUAGUGUUUUCACCACCUUUGAAAAGGAAAGAGAAUGUCAUGUAGAAGAUUGAUAAUGGCUGUUGAUUCUUUUGCCAGCAAGAUGACCACUAAAAUCUCUUGUUAAUGUACCAGUAAAUCGACAAUGUAUUUAGGGUGGGGCCAGUUUUCUAAUUGAUCUUGAUGCUUUCUGCAUAAGCCACGUGCCUGAAAUGAGGGGUUGGUUUGGCUUUAGCGCAAAUGGUGAAAGGUGGGGAUGGAGUGGGCCUGCAGGUCUUUAGGUUCAAGUUAGCCAACAUGUAUACAUUUAUUGAUUGCACUGAUUCUCAUCGUGCUUUGUCUUCCUGAUUUCAAUCUGUCUGAUACUUUUUUUGCAGACUGUAGGAAGUCAAGUUCAAGUGAAGAUUGUAAAGAAUAAACUUGCUCCCCCAUUUAAAACUGUCCAAUUUGAACUUGAAUUUGGAAAGGGAAUAUGUCGAGAAUCAGAGAUCAUAGAUUUGGGGGUAAAACACAAAUUCCUUGGCAGGGCUGGUGCGUUUUACAAUUACAACGGUCAGAAUUUCCGUGGAAAGGAAGCUCUUAGACGGUUUCUAGCUGAAAAUGAUGUUGAACGGGAAGAACUUGUGAUGAAGCUCAGGCAGAAGCUACUUGAUUUUGGCUCGAAUAAGGAACAGGGAACAGAGGCUACUGAUGGGGAACCUGUAGAAGGAAUCAUUUCACCUGAUUCUACCGAUGAAGAAGUAGUUACUGCAGUAGAGGCUUAGUGUGGAUUUACAGGACAUUGUAGAUUGGGGUUAUCCUGCUAGAUUCCCUGGUAUGAAUCAGUUUUCAAAGGGAUUCUGUAAUCCCCAUUUCCUGCUGAUUAAUAUGAUGUGGUAUUUCAGGCGGCACAAGCUACCAUUGCAAUGCUUGUAUAUACACAUGGCAUUAGUUAAAUGUAAGCUGGUUAAUUUUUGUAGCUUUACGCAGGCCAAGCGCAAAUUUCUUUAGAUGUUGUCCAACCCCAUUGUGUAUGCAAACAUUAAGUUUAGAAAUGAAAGUCCACAAUUUUUUUUUUCUUGUAGCUAAUUGAGCUCCUAAAUUAGAGAGAUUAUUAGGCAUAUCUACCAUGUAAUAUUGGUUUUAGUGUAUUUUCUAUUUAUUAAUAUAUGUGAUUUUCUUCUUAAA